rnacentral:tRNA from 1 species
GGGGUUGUGGCUCAGUGGUAGAGUGCUUGCCUCGCACAUAUGCGGCCCUGAGUUUGAUCCUCAGCACCA